rnacentral:tRNA from 1 species
GUCUCUGUAGCUUAAUAACAAAGCCCUGGUCUUGUAAACCAAAGACGGGAACUAAGUACCCCUGAGACA